rnacentral:misc_RNA from 1 species
GAAUAGUCAGUGAACAAAGCAGAUUAGUCUCUAUUUAAUUUAAAAGAAUAGGCAGAGAGCUCGGAUGGUGGAAAAGAGCAAAUUAAAGGACUAAGUGGAACUUUGGGAGAUCAAGACAAUAAUCUUGGAAUUAAGUUGCUCAACCUAGGUUGAGAAAUAGGGUGGAACCGCGUUAAUUAACGUCCCUAUG